CACCCCAUCAAAUGCCCCGCAGGGACAGUGUUUGACUGCACUGUGGAAUGCUGCGUGCGACGGUAAUCUACGUCCCCUCAGGAACAACGCGCACUAACUGAUAAGUGCCAUGAGCCAGAGUGGGACGGAUUCCGUCAGGCCUGCUCCAGCCGAGCGCGAUGGCAUGCGGCAUCUUCUCUGGGCGGGCUGAGGUACCGCAUCUUGAAGUGUGAUAAAGAAAUACUGUAGACCAGGAAUCUCCUACCUGGAUUUGGAGAGCUCCAAUCAACCAGGUAUUGAAGAUCACCAUUAAGUCACCAACU
rnacentral:lncRNA from 1 species